GAAAGGGUUCCUCCAUGGAAAUCAGUGUUCUUAUCAUCUGGGUUUUGUCCAUUGACAUUCAGUAAUUUCACGGAAUCACAGGCAGAGUGUCUGCUGCAGCGGACGCCGGUUCAAGGAUUUCAUAUCGACAAGAGACACUCCUCGCUUGUUCUUUGCUGGCAUCGGAAGGAGCUCGUUUCAAUCUCUGCUUGGAGGUCUUAAUUUUUCAUUUUUCUGUCCUUUUAAACUUGUCUCAUCAACAUCAAAUUUAUAAUUG
rnacentral:misc_RNA from 1 species